rnacentral:lncRNA from 1 species
CUGGCUCAAGCAGUCAAUAAUAUCAAGACCAUAAACAUGGGACAUAUCAUGUGGAUAUUUCAUAGCAUCAUAGACAUUAAAUUUAAUAACUUCCCCUUCAAACUCCAUAGUUAAUGUGCCAUCAUGCACAUCAAUCUUAGUCUUAGCAGUACUCAAGAAAGGACGUCCAAGAAGAAUGUCAGAAGUAGUGUUACAACUGUCUUCCUUAGUAUCAAUCACAUAAAAGUCUGCAGGAAAGACAAGUUCAUCUACUUGCACUAGAACAUCUUCUAGCACUCCUAUGGGAUGUACCACAG